rnacentral:rRNA from 1 species
UACGUAGGGUGCGAGCGUUAAUCGGAAUUACUGGGCGUAAAGCGUGCGCAGGCGGUUAUUUAAGUCAGGUGUGAAAGCCCUGGGCUUAACCUAGGAAUUGCGCUUGAGACUGGAUAGCUUGGAGUGCGGCAGAGGGAGGUGGAAUUCCACGUGUAGCAGUGAAAUGCGUGGAGAUGUGGAGGAACACCGAUGGCGAAGGCAGCCUCCUGGGCCAGCACUGACGCUCAUGCACGAAAGCGUGGGGAGCAAACAGG